CUUUCGAUGGUAGUAUAGAGGACUACCAUGGUGUUAACGGGUAACGGAGAAUCAGGGUUUGAUUCCGGAGAAGGAGCCUGAGAAACGGCUACUACUUCCAAGGAAGGCAGCAGGCGCGCAAAUUACCCAAUCCCGACACGGGGAGGUAGUGACAAAAAAUAACAAUACCGGUCUUAUUUAAGUCUGGUAAUUGGAAUGAGUACAAUCUAAAUCCUUUAACGAGUAUCAAUUGGAGGGCAAGUCUGGUGCCAGCAGCCGCGGUAAUUCCAGCUCCAAUAGCAUAUAUUAAAGUUGUUGCAGUUAAAAAGCUCGUAGUUGGAUUUUGAAGUUUACAUAUUAUGACCCACUUUGUAUUAAGUGUGACUUUUGUUGUGAUAUGUACUUCUCCUUACUAGACUUUCACUAUUACACUUUAUUGAGUGAUAGUUUCAUUUUAAUUUAUUAGAAUGAGUGAUAAGCAGACCUAUUGGGUUUAAGAUUGUGGAGGUUCUUUUUCGAAAGUUCGUUCUGCUUAGAUUCAGUAACUGUUUAUUAGAAAUCUAGUUCAUUUACUUUGAGUAAAUUAGAGUGUUCAAGGCAAGCAAAAUAUUAAUUUUCUGCAAUGAAUACUAUUAGCAUGGGAUAAUGGAACAGGACAUGUAUUCUAGUUUUCCGUUGGUUUCUAGAAUUUUUUAAAGUCUCUCUUUUCGGAGAGAGAUGAAGUGUAAUGAUUAAAAGGGACAGUUGGGGGCAUUCGUAUUUCAUUGUCAGAGGUGAAAUUCUUGGAUUUAUGAAAGACGAACUUCUGCGAAAGCAUUUGCCAAAGAUGUUUUCAUUAAUCAAGAACGAAAGUUAGGGGAUCGAAGACGAUCAGAUACCGUCGUAGUCUUAACCAUAAACUAUGCCGACCAGGGAUUGGAAGAUGUCUUAUCCAGUGUAACAGCUGGAAAACUCCUUCAGUACCUUACGAGAAAUCACAAGUCUUUGGGUUCUGGGGGGAGUAUGGUCGCAAGGCUGAAACUUAAAGGAAUUGACGGAAGGGCACCACCAGGAGUGGAGCCUGCGGCUUAAUUUGACCCAACACGGGAAAACUUACCAGGUCCAGACACAGUUAGGAUUGACAGAUUGAGAGUUCUUUCUUGAUUCUGUGGGUGGUGGUGCAUGGCCGUUCUUAGUUGGUGGAGUGAUUUGUCUGGUUAAUUCCGAUAACGAACGAGACCUCAGCUUAUUAAUUAGUUAUGCAAAUGAUUACAUCCAUUUAAUUGGGAAGGGUUUCUAAUGUAAGCUUGGGGUUUGACUCUGAGAUUGAUUAGAAAAACUUGUUUUUAUUUGUGAGAGUUUUGAUUUAUCAAAUUCGUUAAUAACUUCUUAGAGGGACACUUGGUGUUUAACCAAGGGAAGUCUGAGGCAAUAACAGGUCUGUGAUGCCCUUUAGAUGUUCUGGGCUGCACGCGCGCUACACUGAUACGAACAACGAGUACUGAAGCCCUCAUUCGAAAGGAUGGGGUAAACUUAUGAAAUCGUAUCGUGCUGGGGAUCGAUAAUUGCAAUUAUUUAUCGUGAACGAGGAAUUCCUAGUAAGCGCAAGUCAACAGCUCGCGCUGAUUAUGUCCCUGCCCUUUGUACACACCGCCCGUCGCUCCUACCGAUGUUUGGUCCGGUGAAAUCUUAGGAUUCGUAGCAUACACUUAUUAUCACUCUC
rnacentral:rRNA from 1 species